CACAGGCAAAUAGAUAUUUACGCGGGAAAGCGAACCACAGCCUCCACUCUAAUUCUAAUUCUAAUAUUCCAAUCUUGUGGCCCAAAAUGGAAAAACUCAUUCGGCUCUCUCUGACCGUAAAAAUAUCCUAACCGCACGUUUAGUUAGUUACUCUUUCCCAAAAAGCCUUUUGCCUCCCAAGUCAACUACCACAGUAGCUUAGCUCCCAACGGUUUGGUUUGGUUCGGUUCGGUUGAUGGCUGGCACGAGUGCCUCCUUCGUCCCGCACGUGGUCGGAUCAUCUAAAGUUCUCAAACUUUCCAGAAUUAACCGGUGGACCGGAGCUCCGUUCUCAGUUCGGAUCUCCACCAAACCCAACAGAUCCACCACCAACUGCUCCUGCGCAAACACGGAGGCUCCCUCUUGCAUCUUCGUGGGUCCCAUCGAGUCCGCCAGUAAAGAAACCCUUGAAGCUCUCUAUCGCCAAGCACAGGAUGCGUAUUACAGUGGCAAACCUUUGAUAAUUGAUGACAUGUUUGAUAGAGUAGAGUUAAAGCUAAGGUGGUAUGGUUCCAAAUCAGUUGUCAAGUAUCCUCGGUGUAGUCUUAGGCGGCAUUCAACCUACGCAGAUGCAGAGGGCAGGAAGAUAUAUCACAGGUUUUUGCAUUAGCGAGCAUAUGGGUCCUGUUUCUUGCAUUUGGAAGCUCUGCAUGUCUUCUGCCUAUAAUCUACACUGUUGGCCAAGCAAAUCAACAUGCAUUCAGUUCAGGAUUUUACUAUGGCAUUCAAGCAUCCACAUUAGAGCUUCUUUCCGUGGUGAAUGGCAUUCUCUUCAUGGCAUUGGGGUCUGUGAUUGGCUACCCAAUUGCAACAGCUUCAGUUAAAGUGCUUCAAGGCCUGUGGAGGAAUGACUUGGUAGCACUUAAAGGGGCAUGCCCAAAUUGCGGGGAGGAGGUGUUUGCAUUUGUGAAAACAAAUCAGACUAAUAACAGGCCCCAUAGAGCAGAUUGUCAUGUUUGUGAAUGCUUAUUGGAAUUCCGCACCAAGGUUGAGCGAUCGGUUUCAAGACUAGGUAGAGGAUGGGUUUACGGCCGCGUAUACCUUGUUUCACGAAGAGGCAGAAAUCGGCAUCAGAAAUGGUUUUAAGAUCUAUGCCCAGUAUAUUAGAUCUCAGAAGAUUUAUGUGAAGUAAAACUAUUCUUUACUCUUUUUCUAGGGUGAAAUGGUGGUUAAUCCUAAGUUAGGAUUAUCCUAACGAAGAUUCAUUUUGCUACAAGUCAGUAGACAGCUGGACUUCAUAUAUUGUAAUUAACAACAAAUAAGAUUCUCUUGAGAUUUAAGUUAUAGUCAAGUGCCAUACAUUCAGAAAAGCAAUAGCUAUUUUGGUUCUUCAGGUUUCUUUUCAUGGGAUUGUUAGCUAGUUAAUUAAAGGUAUCAUAGUCAUGCUCA